AUGGUUGUAGUUAAAUGGUAGAACGACUGUAUGUGAAACAGUAUA
rnacentral:tRNA from 1 species